CUGAACUGCUUCUUCUCUAGUGCACUGCUUCCCUUCAGAUGCGCUCUCUCGCAAUUUUCUGUCCAUAUUAGUUACAUUUUGCUAGGAAUACGAUUUAUUGGUAUUGCAUUGUGUCUUGGGAAUUUUUGAAGUAAAGUAUCCAUUUGGGCGAAUCAACUUCAGAAUGUCACUGCUCGUCUAAAGAUGUGCACGUUUCUAAGAGUACUGGACAUGGUGUAACUUCAAACCCGCUAUCAGAUUGAUAUGUUGUUAUGAUGGCAUUGAGUGCAUGUGAUGUGUA